rnacentral:rRNA from 1 species
AGGCCUAACACAUGCAAGUCGAGCGGUAGCGGGCCUGACCACUCUCGAGUGGUUCAGGCGCCGACGAGCGGCGGACGGGUGCGUAACACGUAGGAAUCUGCCUGGUAGUGGGGGAUAGCCCGGAGAAAUUCGGAUUAAUACCGCAUACGCCCUAAGGGGGAAAGCAGGGGAUCGGUUCGCCGACCUUGCGCUAUCGGAUGAGCCUGCGUCGGAUUAGCUUGUUGGUGGGGUAAAGGCCUACCAAGGCGACGAUCCGUAGCUGGUCUGAGAGGAUGAUCAGCCACACUGGGACUGAGACACGGCCCAGACUCCUACGGGAGGCAGCAGUGGGGAAUAUUGCACAAUGGGCGAAAGCCUGAUGCAGCCAUGCCGCGUGUGUGAAGAAGGCCCUAGGGUUGUAAAGCACUUUCAGUGGGGAGGAAAG